AGUGCAUGUGGUGGAUGCCUUGGCAGUCAGAGGCGAUGAAAGACGUGAUAGCCUGCGAAAAGCUCCGGGGAGGCGGCAAAUAUCCUUUGAUCCGGAGAUGUCUGAAUGGGGGAACCCACCUACUUUAAGGUAGGUAUUGCAACAUGAAUACAUAGUGUUGCAAGGCGAACGAGGGGAAGUGAAACAUCUCAGUACCCUUAGGAAAAGAAAUCAAUUGAGAUUCCCUCAGUAGCGGCGAGCGAACGGGGAUCAGCCCAUUAAGUUAUGUGUGUUUUAGUGGAACGCUCUGGGAAGUGCGAACGUAGAGGGUGAUAUUCCCGUACACGAAAGGGCACACAUAAUGAUGACGAGUAGGGCGAGGCACGUGAAACCUUGUCUGAAUAUGGGGGGACCAUCCUCCAAGGCUAAAUACUCCUGACUGACCGAUAGUGAACCAGUACCGUGAGGGAAAGGCGAAAAGAACCCCUGUGAGGGGAGUGAAAUAGAUCCUGAAACCGCAUGCAUACAAGCAGUGGGAGCACCUUCGUGGUGUGACUGCGUACCUUUUGUAUAAUGGGUCAGCGACUUAUAUUCAGUAGCAAGGUUAACCGUAUAGGGGAGCCGUAGAGAAAUCGAGUCUUAAUAGGGCGUUUAGUUGCUGGGUAUAGACCCGAAACCAGGCGAUCUAUCCAUGAGCAGGUUGAAGGUUGGGUAACACUAACUGGAGGACCGAACCCACUGUCGUUGAAAAGCCAGGGGAUGACUUGUGGAUAGGGGUGAAAGGCUAAUCAAGCCUGGUGAUAGCUGGUUCUCCCCGAAAGCUAUUUAGGUAGCGCCUCGGACGAAUACCAUAGGGGGUAGAGCACUGUUUCGGCUAGGGGGUCAUCCCGACUUACCAAACCGAUGCAAACUCCGAAUACCUAUGAGUACUAUCCGGGAGACAGACUGCGGGUGCUAACGUCCGUAGUCAAGAGGAAAACAAUCCAGACCGCCAGCUAAGGCCCCAAAAUCAUAGUUAAGUGGGAAACGAUGUGGGAAGGCAUAGACAGCUAGGAGGUUGGCUUAGAAGCAGCCACCCUUUAAAGAAAGCGUAAUAGCUCACUAGUCGAGUCGGCCUGCGCGGAAGAUGUAACGGGGCUAAAACUAUGUGCCGAAGCUGCGGAUGUAUACUUUGUAUACGUGGUAGGGGAGCGUUCUGUAAGCCGAUGAAGGUGUGUUGAGAAGCAUGCUGGAGGUAUCAGAAGUGCGAAUGCUGACGUGAGUAACGACAAAACGGGUGAAAAACCCGUUCGCCGAAAGACCAAGGGUUCCAGUCCAACGUUAAUCGGGGCUGGGUGAGUCGACCCCUAAGGCGAGGCCGAAAGGCGUAGUCGAUGGGAAAAUGGUUAAUAUUCCAUUACUUCUGUGUAAUGCGAUGAGAGGACGGAGAAGGCUAAAUCAGCCUGGCGUUGGUUGUCCAGGUGAAAGGAUGUAGGCAUGUAUCUUAGGCAAAUCCGGGGUACUCUAUGCUGAGAUCUGAUAGCAAGCUGUACUUGUACAGCGAAGUGGUUGAUGCCAUGCUUCCAGGAAAAGUCUCUAAGCUUCAGUUACACAGGAAUCGUACCCGAAACCGACACAGGUGGUCAGGUCGAGUAGACCAAGGCGCUUGAGAGAACUCUGCUGAAGGAACUAGGCAAAAUGGUACCGUAACUUCGGGAGAAGGUACGCUGUUGUUGGUGAUGGAACUCGCUUCCUGAGCUGACGACAGCCGCAGAAACCAGGCCGCUGCAACUGUUUAUUAAAAACAUAGCACUCUGCAAACACGAAAGUGGACGUAUAGGGUGUGAUGCCUGCCCGGUGCUGGAAGGUUAAUUGAUGGGGUUAGCGUAAGCGAAGCUCUUGAUCGAAGCCCCAGUAAACGGCGGCCGUAACUAUAACGGUCCUAAGGUAGCGAAAUUCCUUGUCGGGUAAGUUCCGACCUGCACGAAUGGCAUAAUGAUGGCGGCGCUGUCUCCAGCAGAGGCUCAGUGAAAUCGAAAUCGCUGUGAAGAUGCAGUGUACCCGCGGCUAGACGGAAAGACCCCGUGAACCUUUACUGCAGCUUGACACUGAACUUUGACCUUACUUGUGUAGGAUAGGUGGGAGGCUUUGAAGCUGGAACGCUAGUUCCAGUGGAGCCGUCCUUGAAAUACCACCCUGGUAAUGUUGAGGUUCUAACUCUGUCCCGUGAUCCGGGACGAGGACCGUGUCUGGUGGGUAGUUUGACUGGGGCGGUCUCCUCCUAAAGAGUAACGGAGGAGUACGAAGGUGCGCUCAGCGUGGUCGGAAAUCACGCGUAGAGUAUAAAGGCAAAAGCGCGCUUAACUGCGAGACCCACAAGUCGAGCAGGUACGAAAGUAGGUCUUAGUGAUCCGGUGGUUCUGUAUGGAAGGGCCAUCGCUCAACGGAUAAAAGGUACUCUGGGGAUAACAGGCUGAUACCGCCCAAGAGUUCAUAUCGACGGCGGUGUUUGGCACCUCGAUGUCGGCUCAUCUCAUCCUGGGGCUGAAGCAGGUCCCAAGGGUAUGGCUGUUCGCCAUUUAAAGAGGUACGCGAGCUGGGUUUAGAACGUCGUGAGACAGUUCGGUCCCUAUCUACCGUGGGCGCUGGAAAUUUGAGAGGAUCUGCUCCUAGUACGAGAGGACCAGAGUGGACGAACCUCUGGUGUACCGGUUGUGACGCCAGUCGCAUCGCCGGGUAGCUAUGUUCGGAAGGGAUAACCGCUGAAAGCAUCUAAGCGGGAAGCCUACCUCAAGAUAAGAUUUCCCUAGGACUUUAUGUCCUCUAAAGAGCCGUUCGAGACUAGGACGUUGAUAGGUUGGAUGUGGAAGCAUAGUGAUAUGUGAAGCUGACCAAUACUAAUUGCUCGUGAGGCUUGACU
rnacentral:rRNA from 9 species